CUUCAAUAUGCCUUGCCUUCCUUUUUGAGGUGACGAUGCAAUAUAAGUGUGCCAUCUAGGUCAGGGCCAUCAUCAUCUCUGGCUGAUGCAUUAAAAUAAACUGAAAUAAAAUGAAACAGCUGGUCAAGGCUAAUUUCCUUCCCACCACCAAGAUCCUUUAUAGGCAAUGUGGUCAUCAGUUGCACGUCUUCACUUGCAAAUGUUUCAAGGGAUGUGAUGAAGUGGAGGCCAGCCAGGGUAUUGGACAAUAAUUCCAUCUUCUCAUAAGAUUGCAAGCCCCCACCUAUGUUGGUUAAUUCUGCUUCACAUGGAAGAGACAGCCAUUGGGCCAGCCCUGAACAAAGAUCCCUGUCACCAAGAUCCACUGCUCCUGCUGUGGUCAGGCAAAGAGAAGGUUAUGUCUCCUGAGUUCUAGUUCUCCGUCCUGAAGUCCAUGUAAUGUGAGUUACAAGCCGUCUGCAGAGGUGAGCAUUCGACUCUGGCCAGCUCAAGUUAUUCGGCAAGGUGUGAUUGUCCAGUCUUGAGGCUGUUUGCUGGGAGAAGCACGACAUAGGCUAUUGCCAGUGCCAAGGAGAACAAUCCUAAUAAGACUGACAGCCCUGCCCAAAUGACAUGGCAUUGAAAAUGACACCUGACUGAAUGAAGCUGACACUGAGGUAGGCACUGAGCUUCUUCAGAGAGAAGGGAGGGACCAGCCACAGAGGAGGCAUGAUCCAAACUUUUGGGAUCCUCAGAAAUGUUUACCCAAGCUCCAUGAAACAAUCAUAAAGGAACAAAAGGACAAAGUAAUUGGGGGAAUAUAACAACAAUGAACACAGGGCUAGAGUGUGUAAUCCUGUUGCUGUCGUUAAUCCUGUUGCAGUUCACUCUUAUCCAAUUCUGUAUGCUCCUUAGAUCCAGAAACAGGCAUGUUAUGUCCUUGUGCAUCUGCUCUGCCCAGCUAGAUGUUGUCAUCCCUACCCAAGAAGAAUGCAUUAGAUCCAGUAAAAGCUUCAUGUUCAGUCUCAGUUGCAAAGAGCAGAGCAUUUCAAAGUAGGGGUCAUGAAGCCUGCUCCAUGGGCUUUACUGAUUGUCUGCAGGAAACCGCUCUCAUCUUAACCUCUGUGUCCUUGAAUCAAAAGACAUUUUUGCUGGUCACACAGGACAACGUUUUCUUAAUAUUCCUCAAAUUUCCCUACCAAAUCUUAAAAGUAUGAUUCUCCUCUGAGAGUUAAAGUAGCAAAACCUGUAUAUGACGCACAUGAUUCUUCAUUUUUUAGAAGAAACCAGAAAGACAUUUUGUAAAUGGACAGCUGAGUGAUAUGGGGCUAGUAAUGGAAGGGAGGCUUUGGAAGGGCUGGCCUUGAAUGUGAUUAACUUAACAGUAAAACCUGAUGAAAUCAAUCAGUUCCUUCCUGAAGAGACCACAGCAUGGUGCUGAAGAGCGUGAUCUCAGGAAUACAGAACUGGAUUUAAAUCCCUGCCUCAGAUGACUUUGUGAACCACGUAUCCUCUAUGGAAAUCAGUUUCUUCAUCAUUGAAAUGGAGAUAACUGGUAUUAUCCGCAGUGAUUUGCUUGCCUUUCUUACACUGUCUUGAUAUCUGCAUCUUUGAGAAUCCAAACUGACACAGUUGUCACCAGAACUGGACCAAGAAGUUUUACCUCAGUGCUAUGUUAACUCUGCCAUGCUUGUUGAUAAUAAAAUUCAAAGAGAUAUGGACCAUCUGGACAUACCGCAGGAUAUCAUAUUGAUCCAGUACAUCUGUGAUAUCAUGCUAAUUGGACAAGAUAAGAAGAAACAUCAGAAGCAGUUGAGGAACCAGGAAGUGAGUCCCCUAGGAAUGAGGAAGCAUUCUGCUAGAUAGCUUUUUAAAAUGUUUCCUCUAUACAUGAAAACUAAACACCUUGCUUCCGAAUGACUUUUGGGUAAACAAUGAAAUUAAAGCAUAAAUAAAAAAACUCAUUAAAAGAAAUGAAAAUAGAGAUGUAAUGUACAAAAAACCUCUGGGAUAUGACUAAACAGUGUUAAGAGGAAAGUUUGUGGCACUAAAUGCCUACAUCAAGAAAUUAGAUCUCAAUUAACAACCUAACGUUGCACCUAAAGGAACUAGAAAAACAAGAACAAAUUAAACCCAAAACUAGAAGAAAAGAAAGCACUAAAAUCAGAGCAGAACUAAAUGAAAUCGAGACCAAAAAAUCCGUACAAAGGAUCAACAAAAGGAAAAGUGUUUUUUUGAUAGAUAAGCAAGAUUGAUAGACCACCAGCUAGGAAAAUAAAAGAAGAUCCAAAUAAUCACAAUCAAGAAUGACAAAGGCAGCAUCACAACUAAUCUCACAGAAAUAUGAAAGACCCGCAGAGACUACUAUGAAUGUCUCUACGCAUGUAAACUAGAGAAUCUACAGGAAAUGAAUAAAUUCCUGGAAACACACAACCUCCAAAGAUUGAGGGAGGGAGAAAUUGAAACUCUGAGCAAACCAAUAAUAAGUGACAAAACUGAAUCAGUAAUAAAAACUUAUUAAAAAAAAGCCUUGGACCAAAUAGCUUCACAGCUGAAUUCUACCAGACAUACAAAGAACAACUACUACCAAUCCUAAUGAAACUAUUCUAAGAGAGGAGGGGGGCAUUCCUCUCUAACUCAUUCUUUGAAAGCAGCAUCAUCCUGAUACCAAAAUCUGGCAAGGACACAACAAAAAAGGAAAACUACAGGCCAAUAUUCCUGAUGAACAUAGACACAGAAAUCUUCAACAAAAUACUAGCAAACUGAAUCCAAUAACACAUCAAAAAAAUAAUUCAUCAUGCCAAGGGCACUUUAUUUCUAGGAUGCAAGGAUGGUUUAAUAUAUGCAAAUCAAUAAAUGUGAUUCACCACAUAAACAGAAUUAAAAAUGAAAACGAUAUGAUCAUCUCAGUAGACAUAGAAAAAGCACUGAUAAAAUUCAACAUUGCUUCAUGAUAAAAACCCUCAAAAAAAUAGUCAUCAAAGGAACUUAUCUCAAAAUGGUAAGAGUCGUCUAUGACAAACCCACAGCUAAUAUACUGAAUGGGUAAAAGUUGGAAGCAUUCUCCCUAAGAACUGGAACAAGACAAGAAUACCCACUUUCACCACUCCUAUUCAACAUCAUACUGGAAGUCCUAAUCAGAGCAAUCAGGCAAGAGAAAGCAAUAAAUAUAUAAAUAGGAAAAGAGGAAGUCAAAUUAUCUCUGUUUGCUAAUGAUAUAAUUGUAUACCUACAAAACUCUAAAGACUCCUCCAAAAGACUCCUGUACCUGAUAAAUGACUUCAGUAAAGUUUCAGAAUUCAAAAUCAAUGUACAAAAAUCAAUAGCAUUCCUAUAUACCAAUAAUGUUCAAAGCUCAAGCUGAGAACCAAAUCAAGAACACAAUCCCAUUUACAAUAGCCACACAUACACAAAAGAUAUCUAGGAGUACAUUUAACCAAGGAGGUAAAAUAUCUCUACAAGGAAAACUAGAAAACACCGAUGAAAGAAAUCAUAGAAGACAUAAACAAAAAGAAAAACAUUAUUCUAUUCUCAUGGAAUAGAAUAAUCAAUAUUGUUAAAAUGUCCAUACUGCCCAAAGCAAUCUACAGAUUUAACACAAUUUUUAUCAAACUGCCAAUGUCAUUUUUUACAGAAUCAGAAAAAACAAUUCAAAAUUUGUAUGAAACAAGAGAAGAACCUGAACAUCCAAAGCAAUCCUAAGCAAAAAGAAUAAAGAUGGAGGCACCACAUUACCCAACUUCAAACUAUACUAUAAGGCCACAGUAAACAAAGCAGCAUGGUAUUUGUUAAAAAAAAAAAUAGACACAUAGACCAAUGGAACAAAUUAGAGAACCCAGAAACAAAGCUGUAUAUAUCUACAACCAACUAGUCUUUGACAAAGUCAACAAAAAUAAACUAUGGGGAAAGGACAACCUAUUUAAUAAAUGAUGCUGGAAAAACUAGCUAGCUAUAUGCAGAAGAAUGAAACUGGACUUCUACCUCUCACCAUAUAAAAAAUUAGCUCAAUAUUACAUUUGUAAUGUAAUCUUUAAAUGUAAGUUUUACAUUUAAAGAUGUAAAUGUAAGACUUCAAUCUGUAAAAAAUAUUAGAACAAAACCUAGGAAAUACUCUUCUGGCCUAGGCAAAAAUUUAUAACUAAGACCUCAAAAGCAAAUGCAACAAAAACAAAAAUGUACAACUGGGACCUAAUUAAAGUAAAGGACUUCUGCAGGGCAAAAUAAAUUAUCAAUAGAGUAAAUGGACAACCUACAGAAUGGAAGACAAUAUUUGCAAACUAUGCAUUCCACAAAGGAAUAAUAUUCAGAAUCUAUAAGGAACUUAAAUCAACAAGAAAAAAAAUCAAAUAACUCCAUUAAAAAGUGGGCAAAGGACACUAACAGACAAUUCUCAAAAGAAGACAUACAAAUGGCCAAGAAGCAUAUGAAAAAAUGCUCAACAUCACUAAUCAUCAGAGAAAUGUAAAUUAAAACCACAAUAAGUUAGCAUCUCACACCAGUCAAAAUGGCUCUUAUUAAAAAGUAAAAAAUAACAGAUGUUGUCAAGAAUGGGGAGAAAGGGAAUGCUUAUACACUGUUGGUGGGAAUGUAAUAUAGUUCAGCCCCCAUGAAAAGCAGUUUAGAAAUUCCUCAAAGAACUAAACAAAAAACUACCAUUCCACCCAGCAAUCCUAUUAUUGGGUAUCUACCCAAAGGAAAAGAAAUCAUUUGUACCAAAAAGGCACCUGCACUCACAUGUUUAUCACAGCACGAUUCGCAAAGGCAAGGACAUGGAAUCAACCUAGGUGCCCAUCAAUGGUGGAUUGGAUAAAGCAAAUAUGGUACAUAUACAGCAUGGAAUACUAUGCAACCAUAAAAAAACAGUGAAAUCACGUCCUUUGCAGCAACACGGAUGGAGCUGGGGGCCAUUAUCCUAAGUGAAUUAAUGCAGAAACAAAAAAUCAAAUACCACAUAUUCUCACUUGUAAGUAGGAGCUAAACGAUGGGUACAUACAGACAUAAAGAUGUAAACAAUAGAUUCUGGGGACUCCAAAAGGGAGGAGGAUGACAGGAGGGAAAAACAAUUGAAACGUAACUUAUUUGGUAUUAUGGUCACUCUUUGGGUGAUGGGAUCAAUAGAAGACCAAAUCCCAGCAUUAUAUACUAUAUCCGUUUAACAAUACUGCACAUGUAGUUUCUGAAUCUAAAAUAAAAAGCAU
rnacentral:lncRNA from 1 species